rnacentral:rRNA from 1 species
UGAGCAAUCUGUCCUUCUCAUCGGAAUAAGCGUUGGAAACGACGUCUAAUGCCGAAUACGACCUCCUUUCGCAUGAUCGGAGGUGGAAAGCUCCGGCGGAGAAGGAUGAGCUCGCGGCCUAUCAGCUAGUUGGUGUGGGUAAUGGCCCACCAAGGCGACGACGGGUAGCCGGCCUGAGAGGGUGACCGGCCACACUGGGACUGAGACACGGCCCAGACUCCGUACGGGAGCAG